rnacentral:lncRNA from 10 species
GGAGUCUUAACGGUCAUUCAGACCAACGCUUUCUCGGGGUGAUGACAUCAAACUCAAUUCGGAGAGAGGAAAGGGUAGUUAUGAAGCAUGCUCCACUGGUGCUGCUGGAUAGUGAGGGUGGGCAGACUUGACGACCACCAGUCCAGGACCUAGACAGCCUGAAGACACGGGGGCCUGAAAAGGUAGUUGGGGAUGCCCAAAGAAUGCUAGUCCUGGUGCCAAUGCAGCAGACAGUCACCUUGUCUGUUGUCGAGUAAACAAGUGCCUCCUCUUGGGCCUGUGAUGCCUGCCAGCACAUGUCUUUCUCAGAGGUGGGCAUAUUCUCUAUUUGGGAAACAAUGGGUAGAGGGAUUGAAGCAGGAGAAGUUUCAGAGAAUCACUCUUGCAAGAGAUGCUGCACUCUGGCAGACUCGAUAAUGACAAAUAUGUCAAGCAACUGAGUUUCAGCAGGGUUCCUUCGGGCCUUGUUCACCAACUUGUGGUUUCCGUGGUGACAGGACAGCUGCCAGGUAGAUGGCGGCUUUGGGGCCACCUGACUGGCUCUGACGAUAACUGGCUUUGACAGCUUUGAUUGGAAUGAAAAGAUUUAGGGUCCCUACUGGCUUUCUUAAAUUAAACCCUCCCUCCUGGAGUUAGCUUGUUUAUCAACAUUAUCUUAGAUUAGGGGACUUUCUUGUGAUCAGAGAGUUCUUUUACCACGAUGGUUCACAUGUUGGGGCCACUGGCAGGGUUUCUGAGAUCAGGGUCCUCGGAGCAGCACAGAGAGGUAAGGCUACACCCUGAUGUGCUUCUCAGGCAAUGCCUCCAAGGGGCAUGUUAACAGUCAGAUCUAGUUAGGAAAGAAAACAGGAAAAGGACCUGCAUUUUAACAGAAAUAAUUUAAUCUAGGCAAUUGAGUAAGCAGGUAUUAGAGGCUGAAAGGCAAAAAGGAAGUAUCAAGAUAAACACAGGGAUGGUAACUGCCAGAGGCAGCUCUACCUCUGGGGCUGAAGAACACAGGGAAGAUACUGGGGUUGCAAUAAUUUCAAAGCUUGGAAGAGGAGCCCUGCGGAGCUGGGACCUAGGCUUCUAAGGAGCGGCGACUGCACAGUAUCUGUGAGGCUGGAUUUGAGAGUCCAGAAAAUGUUGAAGACUGGAACCCAUUGCUAUUGAGGUAAACUGCCACUGCAAGGUGAAAAGUCAUUGUUGGGGUGAUGCUCACAGGGACAAGAAGCAGUCCCAGGAAGAGGCAAGUCCCUGCUCUGCCAAUUUGCCAUCCCUCCUUACUGACAGAGCCCCACAUGGAGCCAGCUGGCCACAGAGCAGUGUGGUUCGCCAAGUUCCAGCCCCAGAAUCACAGGGUAGAGUACAGACAGGUGGGUCUGACCUUAGAGACAUCAGCUUCAUAAUCAGCACAGGGAGUGUGAACAAGACGACAAUGGUAGGCCCUGAGAUAGAACAGCCAGGCCCAAAACACCCACACCUACCCUUCACUGGUAGAAAUCACCUCAUGCAGCUGUGUGUGGUAGCUCACGCCUGUAAUCCCAGCACUUUGGGAGACUGAGGCAGGUGGAUCACCUGAGGUCAGGAGUUCAAGACCAGCCUGACCAACAUGGAGAAACCCCAUCUCCACUUAAAAAAAAAAAAAAAUACAGGGCCGGGCACGGUGGCUCACACCUGUAAUCCCAGCACUUUGGGAGGCUGAGGCAGGUGGAUCACGAGGUCAGGAGAUCGAGACCAUCCUGGCCAACACGGUGAAAUCCCAUCUCUACUAAAAAUACAAAAAAUUAGCUGGGCGUGGUGGCAGGCAGCUGUAGUCCCAGCUACUCGGGAGGCUGAGGCAGGAGAAUCGCUUGAACCUGGGAGGCAGAGGCUGCAGCGAGCCGAGAUCGCGCCACUGCACUCCAGCCUGGGCAACAGAGCUAGACUCCAUCUCAAAAAAAAAAAAAAUACAAAAUUAGCUAGGCGUGCUGGCACAUGCCUGUAAUCCCAGCAACUGGGGACACUGAGGCAGGAGACUCGCUUGAACCCGGGAGGCGGAGGUUGCGGCGUGCUGAGAUUGCACCACUGCACUCUAGCCUGGGCAACAAGAGCAAAACUCUGUCUAAAAAAAAAAAAGAAAGAAAGAAAAGAAAAGAAAAAAAGAAAAGAAAUCACCUAAUGCGUGCUCAGUUCUUUACACUUUACAAACAGCUUCUUAUGUUAUCUUAUUUAAAGGCAGAAAACUGCCUAUGUGUACUGGCACUGACCACCACAUGAGGAGAACAGGACACUGUCCCAAGCACCCAGCAUUGGUGUCCUUUGCUUUCACUUUGUCCCUGAGCUCCUGAGGAACAGCCCUGAUGCAGCCUGACCUGGGCAUUUCCCGAGAUGUGGAAGUUUUCAACUUGUUUCUUGGGCAAAGUAGGCAGGUCACCAAGCAGGACAGUAACCCUGCCCCCAACUCUGUUUUGGCCAGAAUAUCUCCACUAACAUUUGUUUCUCAUACUGGGUCUCCAGGUAAGCUUAUGUAUGAAGAGGAGGCUCUUCAGUGAACAAUAGCUUGGAAACCUUUGCCCUAGAGGGAGAAACCUUCAAGCUGCCAGCCACCAAAUAAGCCCACAAGGCUCACUUCCAUUGUCUUCUCCUCUGCAAUGCCCUUUGUCCCUACCAGCCUGAGGCAAACAUCAGUCCCUAUUGUCCCCUUCGGAGGUUAACCCUACCUCCAAAACCUCUUAAGAGUAUCCUUUCAAAGCAUGUUGGCAGAGUGGCCUGCUGAGUGUCCGAUUUCUCAGUGUGUGGGUUGGGCCUGUUGUUUUGUAUGCAUAGCUUGGGGUGUUGAUUUUUGUUCAUUUGUUGGUUGGUGUGUUUUUCUGCCAAAAAAAAACUGUUAAUCCACCCUACAAGAAAGGAAGGUUAGGGAAAGGGGGGACACAGUUGGAAAAAGGAAUCACAUUUUUCCCUUUCCUAAAUAGACCCCAGACCCACAUCUGCCUCUAAUAUUGGCAAAAGUAUAAAUGAAGGCAGUUGGUCAGCACCCCACCUUCUCUUCCCCUCUCAGGUCCACCAGCAGGCACUGAACAAACACUUCAGCCCGCAUGCCCAAACUCUGUGUAAAGGCCGCUAAUAAGAGCCACCCCUUAGCUAUCCCUGAGGCCUCAGUGACCUCACCACAGACGGGACAGAUGGGAAGAGGUUCACACAGCCCUGGAAGAGGCUGGGACAUUUGAGCAGGGAAUUCUGGGCCCUGGGUUACGAACCAUGCACCAAAAGGAGGACUGGCCCUGGGUGGCACACAGACAAGGCCCAUGAACUUCUUGUCCUAUGGGGCGGGGCCAGCCCCACCAAGACCAGGGCAGGGCACCUAAAACCACAGCCCAGGGUUGCACCCUGAGAGAAUAAAAGAGACUACCGGGGCAGAGCGGAUCCUAGAAGGGAGAGGCACUAUGGGGCCAGCCUCUUUCUGAAGCCCCACCCAGAGAAGCACCCUUUGCUGGAAAAGAAAACAGCAGAAGCCAAGGUAAAUAACAUCUUUGUGUGGCGUGUUGCAGCUGUCACAGCCGCCAGCAGACAGCCGACUCCCUCACCAGUAAACACCGCGGCUUAGGUGUUGCCCACCGGGCACCGGAAGGCGGCCCCCUUCUCGCUCUCCAGUGAAUGUUCCUAAAACAACUGCGGGGUCCAAGAGCACAGGGAGAACAGCGCCCCUGACGCAGGCUGCGCACCCGCCCGGAGGAGGCAGUGCGUCAGUCCUGAGGUCACCGCCACCCGCUCCCGGGGGACGGCCGCCUGGGCAGGUGAGGAGGCGACCACCUCCCAGACGCCUGCCGGAGCUGCGGCGCACCGACUCCCUGCUUCUCCGAGCGGCGAGCGCCACCUGGAGGCUCCCUCGAGAUCUGCAUUUAGGAGGCGACGGGUCCUUUCAUCGUUUUAUUCAUUAAACAUUUAUCGAGGCCUGGAGCGAUGGUUCAAGCCUGUAAUCCCAGCACUUUGGGAGACCGAGACGGGCGGAUCACUUGAGGUCAGGAGUUGGAGACCAGCCUGGCCAACAUGGCGAAACCCCAUCUCUACUAAAAAUACAAAAAUUAGCCGGGCACGGUGGCGCACACCUGUAAUCCCAGCUACUCAUGAUGAGGCUGAGGCACAAGAAUCGCUUGAACCCGAGAGGCGGAAGUUGCAGUGAGCGGAGAUGGAGCCACUGUGUGUUAGGCUCUGGCGACGUGGGGAGAAAUAAAGAUAAUGUCUUGUUUCCCAGGGCAUUAAUAGCGUGAUGGGGAAGACAGGCCAUCAACAAUGUGCAACACUAAGGGCUAGGAAAGAGGUGGAUACAAAGGAGGGAAUAAGGAAUGUGGUCAUUCCUUAAGGUGUUUAUUGGUGCCAGGUACUGUUCAAGGCACCAAAAAGAAUGGAACCAAACAGAGAUCCUGCUCCCAAAGAGCUCAUAGUGGAAGGACAGCCAGACAAGCUUAGAAUUACGGGACAGGCCUAAGAAGGAGCCAGACUGGGGACCAGAGGCGUCCGAAGGGAAGUCCAGGAAGUACCGCAGGAAAACGUGAUAUAUAUUAAAUCUUAAAGAAUGGGCAGGAUUUUGCCAGGCUUAGUGACAAGAUAUCUUCCGUAAAAUCGUGGAACUGAAAAGAAAGGAUAUAGGUUGAAGAAGGGCUAGUUCUGUGUCUGAAAUAGAAGGAACAUGAAAGAGAAGUGCUGGGACAUGGGGCAAAAAAGGGAGUUUGGGGCCAGAUCGUGAAAGCCUUGGUUUAACAGGUGAAAAGUUCAAAUUUGAUCCAGGUAGCUGGCAGAGUCAGAGGUUCUAAAGCAGAGACCUGCUCUAUAGAAAGCUCACCAUGAAGUACAGCAGUGAUGGUGGAUGAAGAUACCAACAGCUCAACCUCCUAUGUGCCAGGGAAAUGCUGAGCGCUUAGCACCUGAUAUUUAUCUUAAUUCUCUAAAUGGGCCUAUGGGGUAAGCAUAUUAUUAUCCCAAUUUUAUUGGAAUACUUCCCUGGUAGGGCCCCUAAACAGGUAGCCAUCAAAUGCCUGAUAAAUUCCAGCUAGCUUUAAAUUCUAGUCGCUACAGAGCAGAGCCCUUCCAUCGCACUGAGCUGAAGGAGCCAGAUGGGCAUUACAGACAAGACCCACUCAGUAGGUGAAAUCAACAGAGCCUAAUGACUAUCUAGAUCUGCAAGAUGAAGAAUAGGAAAGAGCUAAAGACAAGAUUAUGAUGAAAAGUUUGAUUUUGAAAUAAUACAUUUUUAAGAGCUGAGAAAAACCGUAUCCAUCAUCCAGAACAACCGCCUAUUCUACCCACACUCCCAGCACCACAUCAGUACACGUGUGCCUGUACUCACCAUUCUGCCUUGCCUCCUGCUGGCAUGGACGAGUGCUGCGUGUUCCUAAGUGCCACCUUCCGCUGUGCACUCGAUCCCAUCCUCGCGCCCAC